rnacentral:rRNA from 1 species
GUGGGGAAUAUUGGGCAAUGGGGGCAACCCUGACCCAGCGACGCCGCGUGAGGGAAGACGGCCUUCGGGUUGUAAACCUCUUUUGUACGGGAAGAAGGAAGUGACGGUACUGUACGAAUAAGUCCCGGCUAACUACGUGCCAGCAGCCGCGGUAAUACGUAGGGGACGAGCGUUGUCCGGAAUUACUGGGCGUAAAGGGCGCGCAGGCUGUGCUGCAAGUCAGCUGUGAAAUGUCUGGGCUUAACCCGGGCAUGCGGUUGAGACUGCAGUGCUGGAGUGCUGUAGAGGCAAGUGGAAUUCCCAGUGUAGCGGUGAAAUGCGUAGAUAUUGGGAAGAACACCGGUGGCGAAGGCGACUUGCUGGGCAGCAACUGACGCUGAGGCGCGAAAGCCAGGGGAGCAAACGGGAUUAGAAACCCUAGUAGUCC